rnacentral:rRNA from 1 species
GAUGAACGCUGGCGGCGUGCCUAAUACAUGCAAGUCGAGCGAACAGAUGAGGAGCUUGCUCCUCUGACGUUAGCGGCGGACGGGUGAGUAACACGUGGAUAACCUACCUAUAAGACUGGGAUAACUUCGGGAAACCGGAGCUAAUACCGGAUAAUAUAUUGAACCGCAUGGUUCAAUAGUGAAAGACGGUUUUGCUGUCACUUAUAGAUGGAUCCGCGCCGCAUUAGCUAGUUGGUAAGGUAACGGCUUACCAAGGCGACGAUGCGUAGCCGACCUGAGAGGGUGAUCGGCCACACUGGAACUGAGACACGGUCCAGACUCCUACGGGAGGCAGCAGUAGGGAAUCUUCCACAAUGGGCGAAAGCCUGACGGAGCAACGCCGCGUGAGUGAUGAAGGUCUUCGGAUCGUAAAACUCUGUUAUUAGGGAAGAACAAAUGUGUAAGUAACUAUGCACGUCUUGACGGUACCUAAUCAGAAAGCCACGGCUAACUACGUG